GACGAACGCUGGCGGCGUGCUUAACACAUGCAAGUCGAACGCUGAAGCUCAGCUUUUGUUGGGUGGAUGAGUGGCGAACGGGUGAGUAACACGUGAGUAACCUGCCCCCUUCUUUGGGAUAACGCCCGGAAACGGGUGCUAAUACUGGAUAUUCACUGGUCUUCGCAUGGGGGUUGGUGGAAAGGGUUUUUCUGGUGGGGGAUGGGCUCGCGGCCUAUCAGCUUGUUGGUGGGGUGAUGGCCUACCAAGGCUUUGACGGGUAGCCGGCCUGAGAGGGUGACCGGUCACAUUGGGACUGAGAUACGGCCCAGACUCCGACGGGAGGCAGCAGUGGGGAAUAUGGCACAAUGGGCGCAAGACUGAUGCAGCGACGCCGCGUGAGGGAUGGAGGCCUUCGGGUUGUGAACCUCUUUCGCUCAUGGUCAAGCCGCAACAAUGGUUGUGGUGAGGGUAGUGGGUAAAGAAGCGCCGGCUAACUACGUG
rnacentral:rRNA from 1 species